rnacentral:misc_RNA from 1 species
GUCAAUUUCAGCUUCCAUCAACUUCCCCCCAUCCAUACCUUUGAUUCUGCAUUCGAUUUUCAAGCAAUUGUUAGCAGAGCCGAAGGCCUGCUCUAUACACUUGCUGACGCAGCGGUUGCAGUGGAUUCCACUCUUUCAGGUGGCGCCGCAUCCACUUCCGCUGAUACCGCGGUGCAGAAGAAUGGCGGAUGGUUUGGAUUUAUCUCCG